AAAAUGACUCUCGGCAACGGAUAUCUAGGCUCUCGCAUCGAUGAAGAACGUAGCAAAAUGCGAUACUUGGUGUGAAUUGCAGAAUCCCGUGAACCAUCGAGUUUUUGAACGCAAGUUGCGCCCAAAGCCAUUAGGCCGAGGGCACGCCUGCCUGGGCGUCUCA
rnacentral:rRNA from 2 species